rnacentral:piRNA from 1 species
CUAAAAUUUGCUAAGUGUAUCCAGAGC